rnacentral:rRNA from 1 species
CUUUUGUUGGUAUAGGUUUAAAUUAGUACGAAAGGACCAUUUAAUAUAAAAUUUUUAUAGUUUAAUGAAUCAAUUAAAUUUUUGUAAAUAUAGGCCUUA